GGCCCGAUGGUCUAGUGGUAUGAUUCUCGCUUUGGGUUCAGUCCUGAUUUGCGAGAGGCCCCGGGUUCGAAUCCCGGUCGGGCCC
rnacentral:tRNA from 1 species